AGAGGAAAGGAGGAUGUAAAGGGCAAAAUUAAGUGUGAACCCUCAUGUGAAAGAGCAUGUGUGUGGCAGGCGGCGUGGCUGGCUUCUCCAGGCAGCAGUCAAGGCGCACCUGCUUUCCAUCAUCUCAUCACCCACCCCAGUUAAGCCUGGUCUUCACUCCACUGCUCUGCCAGAUUAUUCCGUCAUGUUCGCUUUAUGUUGGUGCCACGCUGCUGUUUCCAGUUCCUGGUUUUCAACGCCUGUUUUUCCACUCUGCCUCUGAGGACAUCUCCCACAGCUCCCUGUCGCCACUGCUCCUACAAGAGACACUUUUCGUUCAAAUCAUAAUAUUAAUACAGUCUAUGGUUCAAAUACACUUUUUGUACCCUACCAAACCAGCUCCGGUUCUCUGCUUUAGGGUCCAACUUUACUAAGAGCCUAGCAGUGGCUUGAGUGUGUCUGAGUGAAAGAAUACCAUUUUUAAUAGUCCAAUAAACUAAUGUUAACAAAUAGAUUUCCAACUCUAGUCAAUAAAUGUUUAAUGAUAGCAGUGAAUAAUUAUGUUUCUACUCAAUAUUAAUACUUUUUAACUAAUAUUUUUGAGGUAGACAUUUAAAAUAUUCAAGUCAUUGGUAGAAGACUGCAUCCGGACCCAAAGUUGGUCAUUUUGUGCAUGACGGAGGGACUGAACACACUGAGAAAAUUUCAGAAACAUAGUCUCAUAACAGUGAUCAAGGUUUAUGCCUCCACACUGGAAGAAACCUGAAACUCCCUCAAUAAAAUAUCAAUCAAUGACUUAAUAACCCUUCUGCAUCUGGAGAGAAUCAGGUUGGAUCUAAAAGACAAGCUGGCAGAUUUCUCCCAUUUGGUCUCCCAUUGUUAAGUUUCUGGGAGGAGCCCACACUGACUUUACUCAUUUUACACCAUCAUAUGAAUAUGAAGAGAGCAGCAGCUUGUUGUAGCUCAAUGCACUAUAUGUAGGCCUAUGGAACUAACUGCAACCCUCACCCUGUCUUAUUUUGUUCUUCCAUCUUUUUCCCACUAUUUCUCUUAAGUCCAACUUGAUUUUAAUAUAAGUACUAGCACUUGUUUGUCCACCAUUUGUCUGGUUGGUUAUGUGUGCAUUUAUGUUCUCAGUUCUACCACUUGUUCGAAGCCACUGUAAUGCAUCACUGUUUCUACUAAA